UGGGGAAUAUUGGACAAUGGGCGAAAGCCUGAUCCAGCCAUGCCGCGUGUGUGAAGAAGGUCUUCGGAUUGUAAAGCACUUUAAGUUGGGAGGAAGGGCAGUAAGCGAAUACCUUGCUGUUUUGACGUUACCGACAGAAUAAGCACCGGCUAACUCUGUGCCAGCAGCCGCGGUAAUACAGAGGGUGCAAGCGUUAAUCGGAAUUACUGGGCGUAAAGCGCGCGUAGGUGGUUCGUUAAGUUGAAUGUGAAAGCCCCGGGCUCAACCUGGGAACUGCAUCCAAAACUGGCGAGCUAGAGUAGGGCAGAGGGUGGUGGAAUUUCCUGUGUAGCGGUGAAAUGCGUAGAUAUAGGAAGGAACACCAGUGGCGAGGCGACCACCUGGGCUCAUACUGACACUGAGGUGCGAAAGCGUGGGGAGCAAACAGG
rnacentral:rRNA from 1 species